rnacentral:rRNA from 1 species
GACGAACGCUGGCGGCGUGCUUAACACAUGCAAGUCGAACGGAAAGGCCCUGCUUUUGUGGGGUGCUCGAGUGGCGAACGGGUGAGUAACACGUGAGUAACCUGCCCUUGACUUUGGGAUAACUUCAGGAAACUGGGGCUAAUACCGGCUAGGAGCUCCUGCUGCAUGGUGGGGGUUGGACAGUUUCGGCGGUUGGGGAUGGACUCGCGGCUUAUCAGCUUGUUGGUGGGGUAGUGGCUUACCAAGGCUUUGACGGGUAGCCGGCCUGAGAGGGGGACCGGCCACAAUGGGACUGAGAUACGGCCCAGACUCCUACGGGAGGCAGCAGUGGGGAAUAUUGCACAAUGGGCGGAAGCCUGAUGCAGCAACGCCGCGUGCGGGAUGACGGCCUUCGGGGUGUAAACCGCUUUCGCCUGUGACGAAGCGUGAGUGACGGUAAUGGGUAAAGAAGCACCGGCUAACUACGUG